UGUCGUCGACUGCAAGAAGGUAACAAGGUCGUGUUCAUGUUUUCGAAGUUUUCCGUAAAGCAUUAUCAUUUGGUGGUUAUUUAGUGGUAGGUAAUAGGUAUAUAAACGGUAGCUAUUGUCAUCUCUCCAAGCAUAUUCUAUGUUUAGUCUCUUGCCACGGACAAACAAAAUAGUACUAUUCAAACAACAAAAAUUGUAUCAUACAUUUAUACCUAACAAUAUAAGGCAUUUUACACUUGUAAAAAACGCAACUAUGAGAGAAGAUAUCAGCUAUGAAUUGUAUCCAAGUAUAUGGUGUAUCGUCGUAUCGAGUAUCAAAACAAUUUGAAGUAACCAAUAAUUGUUAUUAUUUUAAGCACAUAAAAAAGUCUAAUAAAUACUAGUAAUCGUAGUAUAAUGAAGCUUGGAAAAUCAUAUACAAUUGAGUAGAAAAGAAGUGGAAAGACUGCUGACUGCUAUGCAAGGUUGAAUAUAAAUACGAGGAGAAUCAUUAUAAUGUUUAGUGUCCGUUUAGUAGUCAUACUACUUGCAAAGUCGUGAUGGUCGUCAUGGAGUCAUUUAUUCUGUCAUCUUUAAAAAUCGGUGUCUCGUACACACUGUAACUUAGAGUCCUAGUCGGUCAUUAAUACUACAACGUGUGCGGAAAAAUCUUAGUCCUAAUUUGUUUUUAACCUUAUUCUCAACACGCAAACUGAGUUCUACUUAAAAAAUCAAUGGACAAUAUCGACAAAUUACAAUCUUUCGCCUAUAUUCAUCGUAAAAUUGUAAUUUUUUCGUAAAAUAACUGUAGUAGACCCUUAUCUUGCUACGAAGCCUUUAAGUUGUAUAUUUUUACAUCCUCUGACCAGACUUCAAGUCUCUCACAGGACACAGACUCGUAGUACUUUCAUUGAAAACCACGUUGUCUACGUCAAACUAUUUUCGAAUGUUGAUGUCUCACUCUGCUAUAACAACCGGCUAGACGAUGACGAUGGGCCCUUGGUGGGUCGGCACAAUGCCGAAGAAAAAUUUCAUUCCACUACUAACAAAACGCCAUCACCACCAGAUGAUGCAGCACCAGGAGCAUUUUUCCAAUAACUACCUCCUACCUGUGUAAUCUACAUGGUCAUAAACACGUAUAUAUAUUAUAUUACUUUGUAUAAUAAUUAUAAUAUAAUAUUGACAGUUUCCUAUCGGCUAUCUCUCCUGAAAUUCAAUUUAAAUCAUUUUAUUUACCUAAAUCAACUCGUAUUUUUAUUUUAUCUAUAGAUUGACAAAAAAAUUAAUAUAUCUGAAUAAUGAGUUAAAAGAUGACGCGUUCGGUAACCCGCAGGUGGGGCCGCAGCGUCCAAACACUACACGCUGUGACGAGUUACGACUCUUACUUGUUUAAAAUAAAAACAAAACGAACAAAGCAAAAAAAAAAAAAAACAAG